rnacentral:snRNA from 1 species
GUGCUCUCUUCGGCAGUACAUAUACUAAAAUUGGAAUGAUACAGAGAAGAUUAGCAUGGCCACUGUGCAAGGAUGAUAUGCAAAUUUGUAAAAUGUUCCAUAUUUUU